CCCUUGGUAGCUCAGCUGGAAGAGCGCAAGACUGUAAUUUCAUCUUGAGGCCAUCAGUUCGAUUCUGAUUCAAGGGA
rnacentral:tRNA from 1 species